rnacentral:rRNA from 1 species
CUACGGGGGGCUCCAGUGGGGAAUAUUGGACAAUGGGGGAAACCCUGGUCCAGCAAUGCCGCGUGUGUGAAGAAGGCCUGCGGGUUGUAAAGCACUUUCGGUUGGGAGGACUGCUUCUAGCACUAAUAUUGUUGGAAGUUGACGUUACCUUCAGAAGAAGCACCGGCUAACUCCGUGCCAGCAGCCGCGGUGAAUACGGAGGGUGCAAGCGUUAAUCGGAAUUACUGGGCGUAAAGCGCGCGUAGGCGGCUAGAUCAGUCGGGUGUGAAAGCCCCGGGCUUAACCCGGGAACUGCAUCCGAUACUGUCUAGCUUGAGUACAGGAGAGGAGAGUGGAAUUCCACAUGUAGCGGUGAAAUGCGUAGAUAUGUGGAGGAACACCAAUGGCGAAGGCAGCUCUCUGGCCUGAUACUGACGCUGAGGUGCGAAAGCGUGGGGAGCAAACAGGAUUAGAUACCCUCGUAGUC